GGGGAAUAUUGCACAAUGGAGGAAACUCUGAUGCAGCGAUGCCGCGUGAGGGAAGAAGGUUUUAGGAUUGUAAACCUCUGUCUUCAGGGACGAAAAAAGGACGGUACCUGAGGAGGAAGCUCCGGCUAACUACGUGCCAGCAGCCGCGGUAAUACGUAGGGAGCGAGCGUUGUCCGGAAUUACUGGGUGUAAAGGGAGCGUAGGCGGGAUCGCAAGUCAGAUGUGAAAACUAUGGGCUUAACCCAUAAACUGCAUUUGAAACUGUGGUUCUUGAGUGAAGUAGAGGUAAGCGGAAUUCCUAGUGUAGCGGUGAAAUGCGUAGAUAUUAGGAGGAACAUCAGUGGCGAAGGCGGCUUACUGGGCUUUAACUGACGCUGAGGCUCGAAAGCGUGGGGAGCAAACAGGAUUAGAUACCCUGGUAGUCCACGCCGUAAACGAUGAUUACUAGGUGUGGGGGGACUGACCCCUUCCGUGCCGCAGUAAACACAAUAAGUAUUCCACCUGGGGAGUACGAUCGCAAGGUUGAAACUCAAAGGAAUUGACGGGGGCCCGCACAAGCGGUGGAUUAUGUGGUUUAAUUCGAAGCAACGCGAAGAACCUUACCAGGGUUUGACAUCCUGCUAACGAAGUAGAGAUACAUUAGGUGCCCUUCGGGGAAAGCAGAGACAGGUGGUGCAUGGUUGUCGUCAGCUCGUGUCGUGAGAUGUUGGGUUAAGUCCCGCAACGAGCGCAACCCCUAUUGUUAGUUGCUACGCAAGAGCACUCUAGCGAGACUGCCGUUGACAAAACGGAGGAAGGUGGGGACGACGUCAAAUCAUCAUGCCCCUUAUAUCCUGGGCUACACACGUAAUACAAUGGCGGUCAACAGAGGGAAGCAAAGCCGCGAGGCAGAGCAAACCCCCAAAAGCCGUCCCAGUUCGGAUUGUAGGCUGCAACUCGCCUGCAUGAAGUCGGAAUCGCUAGUAAUCGCGGAUCAGCAUGCCGCGGUGAAUACGUUCCCG
rnacentral:rRNA from 1 species